UAACUUACUUGGCGUGGAAGAUACCGCGAUCAAGAAGACGGUUCUUCCUGGGUAAGGCUCGCGAUUCAUUGCACAAUUAAAGAAUACGAGCUGAACCUUGUGAUUAUUCAUAUAUUUGAUAAUUGCACGCAUAAUUUUUGGUAGUUGGGAUAAGCGUUCGCGCUGUCCCGGA